GAUGAACGCUGGCGGCGUGCUUAACACAUGCAAGUCGAACGGAAAGGCUCCUGCUUGCAGGGGUACUCGAGUGGCGAACGGGUGAGUAACACGUGGGUGAUCUGCCCUGCACUUCGGGAUAAGCCUGGGAAACUGGGUCUAAUACCGGAUAGGACGAUGGUUUGGAUGCCAUUGUGGAAAGUUUUUCGGUGUGGGAUGAGCUCGCGGCCUAUCAGCUUGUUGGUGGGGUAAUGGCCUACCAAGGCGUCGACGGGUAGCCGGCCUGAGAGGGUGUACGGCCACAUUGGGACUGAGAUACGGCCCAGACUCCUACGGGAAGCAGCAGUGGGGAAUAUUGCACAAUGGGCGCAAGCCUGAUGCAGCGACGCCGCGGGGGGGAUGACGGCCUUCGGGUUGGAAACUCCUUUCGCUAGGGACGAAGCGUUUUGUGACGGUACCUGGAGAAGAAGCACCGGCUAACUACGUG
rnacentral:rRNA from 1 species